CCUACGUGUGGCAGCAGUGGGGAAUAUUGCACAAUGGGCGAAAGCCUGAUGCAGCAACGCCGCGUGAAGGAAGAAGGGUUUCGGCUCGUAAACUUCUAUCAACAGGGACGAAAGAAAUGACGGUACCUGAAUAAGAAGCCCCGGCUAACUACGUGCCAGCAGCCGCGGUAAUACGUAGGAUGCGAGCGUUAUCCGGAUUCAUUGGGUUUAAAGGGUGCGCAGGCGGGCCUUUAAGCCGGCGGUGAAAGCGCGGGGCGCAACCCCGCCGAGCCGGCGGAACUGGGGGCCUUGAGUGCGGAGGAGGCAUGCGGAAUGCGAGGUGUAGCGGUGAAAUGCGUAGAUAUUAGGAGGAACACCAGUGGCGAAGGCGGCCGACUGGACGGUGACUGACGCUGAGGCUCGAAAGCGUGGGGAGCAAACAGGAUUAGAUACCCGAGUAGUC
rnacentral:rRNA from 1 species